CUGGGCUGUGGUCAAAAUGUGUGACCAGUACCAAUUCCAAAAUGCAAGAACUAGCCACUCAACAUCAGAACCCUGCCACAAACCAGUACAGGCCCAGUCUUUGCAAGACAGUAUUCCUGCUCAGUGUGGCAAGGAAGGGAUUGGAUGGAGGAUGGAUUUGUCAGAGGAAACACACACACACACUCUCAGGGGCUGGGGAAACCCUCCGGUGAUCCGCGGAAUGGCCGGGAUCAGGAUUCCCCCGUGACUGGCACCCUGAGAGACUUCCCUUCGGCGGGCGGGACACGGUCCCCGUGGCACGGAACAUCCCGAGCUGGAAGGGACCCACCAGGAGCACCCAGUGCAGCUCCUGGCCCUGCCAGGGCCACCCCAAAGAUCCCCCCUGUGCAUUCCUGAGCGAUCUCCGAGUGCGCAGGGAGCUCCGGCAGCCUUCGGAGCCUGGGCAGUGCCCGAAGAAAACCUUGCCCAAAUGUCUGUGUAGCCCCUUUGCUCUUUUUGCUUUUCCUUGAUGGGUAAUAAGAGAAUUCUGUCUGGUUCAGAGACAGUAAAUAGUAACUUUCCUUAUCCCGUUCUUUAUGUAUUUGGGAAAAGAAAAUAAAAAAGAAGCUCCUUUGGUAAACUUGUAACA
ensembl:lncRNA